CCUACGGGAGGCAGCAGUGGGGAAUAUUGGACAAUGGGGGGAACCCUGAUCCAGCCAUGCCGCGUGUGUGAAGAAGGCCCUCGGGUUGUAAAGCACUUUCAGUGAGGAAGAACGCCUGGUGGUUAAUACCCAUCAGGAAAGACAUCACUCACAGAAGAAGCACCGGCUAACUCCGUGCCAGCAGCCGCGGUAAUACGGAGGGUGCGAGCGUUAAUCGGAAUUACUGGGCGUAAAGCGCGCGUAGGUGGCUUGAUAAGCCGGUUGUGAAAGCCCCGGGCUCAACCUGGGAACGGCAUCCGGAACUGUCAAGCUAGAGUGCAGGAGAGGAAGGUAGAAUUCCCGGUGUAGCGGUGAAAUGCGUAGAGAUCGGGAGGAAUACCAGUGGCGAAGGCGGCCUUCUGGACUGACACUGACACUGAGGUGCGAAAGCGUGGGUAGCAAACAGGAUUAGCUACCCUAGUAGUC
rnacentral:rRNA from 1 species